ACAUGUGCAUAAGACAUUUUUCUACUGUCUGUUAUUGAGAUGAACACAGUGAAUUGUUCUACAGAUCAAAAUCUGUCGGUUUGUAUUGCUUGCUUUUUGCAUUUUCUCCCAAGAGGAAUAAAAUAUAAUUGAAUAGAAAAUCGGGAGAUCUACGUGUUUCUCCUAGGUGGAUGACUUACAGACGAGUUAAGGAACGCUUGAGAUGACAGAAGGAGCUCUCGCCUUUGCUUAGGGAAACAGAUGCCUGCAUGGACAUAUACUGUAUUGUGAAGUUCCUAAAGGUGAUAAAGGUUGGCAUUGGACCUUCUGGAACUGUGCUUAUAGCUGUGAGUUGUCGUGUGUGUUCUGGUAUCCAAACCAAGGUCCUCUGCAAGGCCAACAAGCACUCUUAGCUGCUGAGCCAUGCUGCCAGCCCUGACGACAGAAGUCGAAUGUCUGUAGGAAGUAGUACAAAUGACAAUGAAACAGACAGUAAAGAAAAAAAAAAAGAAAGAAAUGUCGGCAUUGAUCUGAUGCAUAUCACUUGAAGCAAGAAUAAUUUUGCAUUUUCCCUCAGAUCUGAUUGUCAACAAAGAGAUGGGAUUUUAAAAUGAUCUAAAGAGAUUCCUUGUGGAAUUAUGGUGACCGUAGUGUAUAGCUAUACAUACAUAUAGCUACAUAAAGAAGAGAGCAUUGUGGGUACCUAUGAUGUGAGCUAAGGCUUAGAGAUGGGUAGGGAGGAUGGAUUACAUGGAUUUGAAUAGGUUGCCAUGUUUGGACAGGAGAUAGUGGGAGGUGAGUGAGAGAGACAGUAGCAGUUCUGAGGGAUGGGAGUUGAGUUCUGUUGAACUUCCUUCCACUUUGUUCAGGCAGAGUGUUCCCAGGGGAAGCCCUUUCACUCUAGCUCAGUGCUUGUUUAUACUAACUUCCCUCAAACGCAUUUCUUUUCUACAAUAUUCCUGUGUCUAGGUGUAUCUGAUGCCAAAGCUGGUUCUGGGGAUAACUAAGGACAAAAAAAAUCAUGGCCUCUUUUUCUCACAGGAGUCUGAGGUUUCAGUGUGAUUCACUCUGAGUCAGAACCACCUUCAGUAUUAUGGAUAUUAUAUUGUAAGUGCUUACAUGCUGUUUGAGUUCACUGAGAAGCUGAUUCUGGAAGUGGGAUUGCCCUCGGUUUCAGACCUAAUCGAGUUUGGUUCAUAGCGUUCCCUCAAAGUCCCUUGUCUGGGGAUGGGCUGCCCUCCUGCCCACUCUUAUCUAUGGCAGACAAGGAAGAGAACAGCAAACAGUCCUAAAGUAAAAUGCCGUGGCCUUGAGAAGAGGGAAGAAGGUUUACCGUCCGAACUAUUACUAUUACUAUUACUGUUACUAUUUGCUUACUCAUCCAUGAUACAAAUGCCUGCAGUGGGAAGGAGAAGCUGAAAAUCCAGUCCUGGGAAGCUCAGCUCAGCCACGGAAAGAAAGCUCAACUGGGAACUCCAACCAACUGCCUUAACUUCCCCACUCAGGAUCUAGGUGAUGCUGUGAAUGCUCAGCUUGAUGAUGUCAUAUUCUUGUAUUUGUUUCAUCAUUCACCUGACAGGACAUCUGCUCUGAGUAGGGCUUUCUUGAUUGGAAACUCCAGCUGGCUGCCUUAAAGGCAAUUGGUUUCUGUUGGGUGCUUUGAGCACCUAGUGUAAUAUCUCUAUCUCUCUCUCUCUCUCUCUCUCUCUCUCUCUCUCUCUCUCUCUCUCUCUCUCUCUCCCUCUCCCUCCCCCUCCCCCUCUCCCUAUCCCACCCUCCUCUCUUAUUUUGGCCUGCUAUUUACUUUAUAAACUCACUCCUGCAAUACCAAAAAUGCGGCUGUGGUAGAUUAUUCGUGCCAUUACACAGGACAAUUAGUUGUCUGCCCAUGUGGGGAAAGUUGCUCUGAGCUUUCUGUUUACUCGCUGUCCUCUUUGACCUUGACUUAUUUAGAAUUAAUCAUGAAAAAAAAAAAAAAGAAAGUGUUAGUAUUGGGUUAAACUUGUUCCACGGACUUUUACUUUUCCAAGAGUAUGAUUUUUCUGAGUGAGUGUAGUUUUACAAAAUGCAGCGGAUGCCAAAGACUCAUUUCCUCCUAAAUGAUGGAACCCGCCAGCUGAACUCAGCAGGAGUGAAGGGAUGGGUGACCAGCCAGUUACAAACGUUUUCCAAAUAUUUUCUUCUGGGUAUGGUGACACAUACCUUUACUCCCAACACUUGUAGGAAGAGGCAGGCAGAUCUCUGUGAGUUUGAGGUCAGGGUGGGCAUCAUUGCAUAGUGAAAUCCUGUCUCAAAAACUUCUUUAAGAUUACACUAUAUAUUUUUCACUUUUAACUAUUCUGCACAUCAAGGAAAGAGAAAGUGAAAAUUUCUAUCUGUUAGCGGGCUUGCUGGCUCGCUAAUCACUUAUUGCCCGUGUGUCUUCUGGCAGCUCAACUAACCACACUGAGCUUCAGUUCCUUUUAUUGUGCAUGGGAAGAGAGGGAGCAGCUUGUACUGUCAAUUAAAGCUGGAUUGUCUGGCGGACUAAACAGAUAAACGUAUAGGAAGUUUUUAAAGAGUGCCUGAUGCACAGUAAAUAUGGAAAAGUGAUCUGUAUGAUAAUGAUAUUAUUGAUAUUAUAAUAGAGGAGGAAUUGCCCUAAAAUAGAAUUACAUGGAGUUGCGUUUGGUCUAAAGUCUCUAGCGGGACUCUAGAGUCUACUGAUUCCUGUUUUCUGAAAUAGCAGAAAGCACUGUGGACACUGGCUGUAGACAAUGCCUCUGCUUCUCCACAUGCUAGGGAGGCCCAGGACUGAAGAUGCCCUACGACACCAAAUGAGAGGCCACAGCAAGGAGAGGCUUACUAUGACACAGUCUAUUUGACCCCAAUUCUCCUAACUCCUCCAGAAACGUACCAAAG
ensembl:lncRNA